rnacentral:tRNA from 1 species
GCGCUCGUAGCUCAGCUGGAUAGAGCAGUGGACUUCUAAUCCACCGGUCGCAGGUUCGAAUCCUGCCGGGCGCA